UGCCGGGCUGGAGCACCCGGCUGCACGCGGCGUUCCAGGCGCUGCCGGAGUGCACGCCGAUCGACACCACGCCCGGCCGC
rnacentral:tRNA from 1 species